rnacentral:rRNA from 1 species
GAUGAACGCUGGCGGCGUGCCUAAUACAUGCAAGUCGAGCGAACAGACGAGGAGCUUGCUCCUCUGACGUUAGCGGCGGACGGGUGAGUAACACGUGGAUAACCUACCUAUAAGACUGGGAUAACUUCGGGAAACCGGAGCUAAUACCGGAUAAUAUAUUUAACCGCAUGGUUCAAUAGUGAAAGACGGUUUUGCUGUCACUUAUAGAUGGAUCCGCGCCGCAUUAGCUAGUUGGUAAGGUAACGGCUUACCAAGGCGACGAUGCGUAGCCGACCUGAGAGGGUGAUCGGCCAAACUGGAACUGAGACACGGUCCAGACUCCUACGGGAGGCAGCAGUAGGGAAUCUUCCGCAAUGGGCGAAAGCAUGACGGAGCAAAGCCGCGUGAGUGAUGAAGGUCUUCGGAUCGUAAAACUCUGUUAUUAGGGAAGAACAAAUGUGUAAGUAACUAUGCACGUCUUGACGGUACCUAAUCAGAAAGCCACGGCUAACUACGUG